UAUAGAUUUUAUUUAUUAAUUUAAUUUAUUUAAUAAAAUAUAUUAUUAAAAAUAAUUAUAAAAUUAAUUGUUUAAGUAUUAUUUUAAGAAUAAAUAAUUUUUAUUAUAGUGUAUUAGUAUUGUAAAAUAAAAUUGAAAUAAUUUGAAAAAUUUUUAUAUUAAAAGAAAAUUUAAUUUAUUGUACCUUUUGUAUCAGGGUUUAUUAAAUAAAUAAUAAAUAUUUAUUUUUCUCGAUUUUAAAAGAGUUAAUUAAUUUUAAAAUUUAAUGUGACAAAAUUAUUUUUAAAAAUUAAUUUGAAAUGAAAUGUUAUUCGUUUUUAAAGGUAUCUAGUUUUUUAAGAAAUGAAUUUAAUUCAAAAAUUAUAAAUUAUUUGUUUUAUUUAUUAAUAAAAUAAUUUUUUAAUUUUAAUAUUUUACGGGAUGAGCUGUAAAAUAUUUAUUAUAAAUCUUAAAUAAUAAUUAAAUAAAUGUAGGCUUAGAAUUAGCCACCAUUAAUAAAUUUGUUAUAAUUUAUUUUUAAAUUUAUAUUAUUUAAUUUGUUUUAAUUUUCUAUUAAAAUGUUAUUUUUAAUUUAAAAAAUUAAUUAAUAAUGAUAAAAUUAGUAUAUUAUAUUGUAUUUAAUAAUUUUUAGUGAUAAGUUUUAAUAAAGAACUCGGCAAAUUAAUAUUCGCCUGUUUAACAAAAACAUGUCUUUUUGAAUUUAUUAAAAAGUCUAACCUGCCCAAUGAAUUUUUAAUGGCCGCAGUAUUUUGACUGUGCAAAGGUAGCAUAAUCAUUAGUUUUUUAAUUGAAGGCUGGAAUGAAUGGUUGGACGAGAUAUUAACUGUUUCAUUAAAAUUUAUAAUAGAAUUUUAUUUUUUAGUCAAAAAGCUAAAAUUUAUUUAAAAGACGAGAAGACCCUAUAAAUCUUUAUAUUUUGUUUAUUUAAAUUAUAUAGAUUUCAAUUAUUUUUUUUAAAUUAAAAUAUUUUAUUGGGGUGAUAUUAAAAUUAAAAAAACUUUUAAUUUUUAUUACAUUUAUUUAUGAAUAAUUGAUCCAUUAUUAAUGAUUAAAAAAUUAAGUUACUUUAGGGAUAACAGCGUAAUUUUUUUUGGAGAGUUCAUAUCGAUAAAAAAGAUUGCGACCUCGAUGUUGGAUUAAGGUAUAAUUUUAGGUGUAGAAGUUUAAAAUUUAAGUCUGUUCGACUUUUUAUCCUUACAUGAUCUGAGUUCAAACCGGUGUAAGCCAGGUUGGUUUCUAUCUUUAAUAAACUAAUAUAUUUUAGUACGAAAGGACCAAAUAUAUAAAUAAUUAUAUUUUUAUUAUGAAUAUUAUUAAUU
rnacentral:rRNA from 1 species